rnacentral:misc_RNA from 1 species
GAUGAAGAACGUAGCGAAAUGCGAUAAGUAGUGUGAAUUGCAGAAUUCAGUGAAUCAUCGAAUCUUUGAACGCACAUUGCGCCCCUUGGUAUUCCAUGGGGCAUGCCUUUUCGAGCGUCAUCUACACCCUCAAGCACUGCUUGGUGUUGGGCGUCUGUCCCGCCUUCGCGCGUGGACUCGCCCCAAAGUCAUUGGCAGCGGUCUCUGGCACCUCAACGCGCAGUACAAUGCGUUCAUUGGGGUGCCGUGGGCGCGUCCAUAAGCUAUUUACCGUCUUUGACCUCGGAUCAGGUAGGGAUACCCGCUGAACUUAAGCAUAUCAAUAAGCGGAGGA